GCCUCUUUGGCUCAGUUGGUUAGAGCGCUGGUCUCAUAGCAAUAUGACGCUGCAGUCAUAGCGGUAAUCCAGAGGUCAACAGUUCGAACCUGUUAAGGGGCA